rnacentral:rRNA from 1 species
GAUGAACGCUGGCGGCGUGCCUAAUACAUGCCAGUCGAGCGAACAGACGAGGAGCUUGCUCCUCUGACGUUAGCGGCGGACGGGUGAGUAACACGUGGAUAACCUACCUAUAAGACUGGGAUAACUUCGGGAAACCGGAGCUAAUACCGGAUAAUAUAUUGAACCGCAUGGUUCAAUAGUGAAAGACGGUUUUGCUGUCACUUAUAGAUGGAUCCGCGCCGCAUUAGCUAGUUGGUAAGGUAACGGCUUACCAAGGCAACGAUGCGUAGCCGACCUGAGAGGGUGAUCGGCCACACUGGAACUGAGACACGGUCGAGACUCCUACGGGAGGCAGCAGUAGGGAAUCUUCCGCAAUGGGCGAAAGCCUGACGGAGCAACGCCGCGUGAGUGAUGAAGGUCUUCGGAUCGUAAAACUCUGUUAUUAGGGAAGAACAAAUGUGUAAGUAACUAUGCACGUCUUGACGGUACCUAAUCAGAAAGCCACGGCUAACUACGUG